ACAGUUGGAAUGUUGGCUUAGAGGCAGCAAUCAUUUAAAGAGUGCGUAACAGCUCACCAAUCGAGAAUCAUUGCGCCAAUAAUAAUCGGGGCUCAAGCAUAAAACCGAAAUCGCGGGUGUAUAUUUAUAUAUACGCGGUAGGAGAGCGUAGUAUUCAGCAGUGAAGGUAUACCGUAAGGAGUGCUGGAGCGGAUACUAGUGAAGAUCCAUGGCAUAAGUAACGAUAAAGGAAGUGAAAAUCUUCCUCGCCGUAAGCACAAGGUUUCCAGGGUCAAGCUCGUCUUCCCUGGGUUAGUCGGCCCCUAAGUCGAGGCACAAAUGCGUAGACGAUGGAGCAACAGGUUAAAUAUUCCUGUACCACCUAAAACUUUAGCAAUGGAAUGACGGAGUACGUUAAGCACGCGGACGAUUGGAAAUGUCCGUAUCACAAUGAGACCGGUUAGUAGGCAAAUCCGCUAACAUAAGGUUAGGUUGUGGUUAAGGGAAAUCUUCGGAGGAACUGAUAGUGUGGCGCAAGGCUUUCAAGAAAUAAUUUCUAGCUGUUGAUGGUGACCGUACCUAAACCGACACAGGUGUGCGAGAUGAGUAUUCUAAGGCGCGCGAGAUAACUUUCGUUAAGGAACUCGGCAAAUUAUCCCCGUAACUUC
rnacentral:rRNA from 1 species